CUAUGAAGGAAAAUUGUUCAAUAGCUUAACAGGCUGAACCCAGCAACUUGGAGGAAUGAACGGCGAAAGCUGGUAAAAUGUGAUGUACCCGAUAGUAUUAGUAAUAAAAUACAAAGCUAACGAAAGUUAGUUAAAAUUCAAUGUAAAUAUUGAUUAUGACAAUAUUUGCUUAUUUCUUGACCAAGUCACGUGCCAGCAGUCGCGGCAACACGUGGUAGAUAAGUGUUAUUCAUCUUUAAUAGGUUUAAAGGGUACCUAGACGGUUAAUUAGACAUUAAGUGUACUUUUAUUAACUAGAGUUUAAUGUAAGAAGGAUUGAGUACGGUGAGUGGAGGGAUAAAAUACUGUGAUACCACUUAGAGGACUGGUAAAGGCGAAGGCAACCUUUUAUGUAAAAACUGACGUUAAGGGACGAAGGCUCGAUAAAAGUAACAGGAUUAGAUACCCUAGUAUUGUGGGCAGAAAAUGAUGAGUGUCAUAUGCAAGAAUGUUUUUGUGUAUAAAUGAAAGUGUAAGCACUCCACCUCAAGAGUAACGUGGCAACAUGGGAACUGAAAUCAUUAGACCGUUUCUGAAACUCGUAGUGAAGUAUGUUGUUUAAUUUGAUAUCCCACAAAGAACCUUACCACAAUUUGUAUAACUUGAUAACAAAACAUUAUAAAUUACUAUAUCUAAUACUAUAAUUAAGUAGUACAAGUUACAAGUGUUGCACGGCUGUCUUCAGUUAAUGUUGUGAAACUUUGGUUAGAUCCAUUUAAUUGACGUAAACCCUUCUUUAUUUGUUAUAAAGCAGUUCGCCGCCAUAAUGGUAGCGAUAUAAGGGACUAAGACAAUCAUCAGACGUCCAC
rnacentral:rRNA from 1 species